CUGAGAUGCAAAUGACCAGUAACUUACACCAACAUCAUCUCAUAAUCUUUACAAGAAGAAUGUAUAGCUUAUAAAUACCAAGCUGAAUGCUAAACAUCUUCGCAAAGCAAUAAGGAUCUGAUCUUAUAAACCCUGUAAAAUUUACCUGAUCAAAUUGACUUAGACCAUGGGGAACUGCUGUAAGACUAUCACUCAGAUAAAAAAUCUGCCGUUGUGUUGUCAAGCCCUUCUCAGAUAAAUGCAAAAAUCAAUAGUAAGUGAACUGCAAAGCAAAGCUUGAGACCGAACCCAGCCACUUGUUUGUUACCUUCAGAGAACCAAGAGUAAGCUUCUUAAAAAGAUGAAAAAUAGCCAAUGGCAG
rnacentral:misc_RNA from 1 species